rnacentral:lncRNA from 1 species
GAAAUCUGGAGAGAUUCACGCUGGUUAAGAGAUUUUACCGUUUUUGAUUGACCAUUUAAUUGGGACAGAAUCAAAUAUUAAUUGGGAGCCUUAAAAAUAGGCACUAUUUUAGGCUACAAAAUCAGAUUGAUUUGGUUGGGAGCCUUAAAAACAGGCGCCAUUUUAGGCUACAAAAUCAGAUUGAUUUCGUUUGGUAUAUUUUUGGUAACGAAAACAUGAAAUAUGCGGGUAUUAACCAAACAAGGCACAAUAAUAAAAAUAAGGUUUGCUAUAUGGCAUAAUUAGGUAAAAAUCUCUAUCCUUAUUUCAGAAUGGCCUUAAAAUCCAUGCACAAAGGAGCCCAAACCUUACGAAAAAACUAAGGCUGAAGAAUAGGGACUCAAGAUCGAGUCCACACAAAAGCAUAACUGAUAUUUACAUUUUAAAAAACCAAAUAAGCCUAAUGGACUUUCAUCAAUACACGACAACCUUGAAUUAUUAUUAAAAUUAACACUACACCUGUAACAAUCCCUUAAACCUUUUAUCAAUCCCAAUGAUGCGCUCGUGAUUUGUUCUCUUAAAUUUAAAAACCAGAAGGAACACACAUGCUGAACAUUGUAUUGCUGAACAUACCAAAUCUUAAAUUCACAUACAUCCACAAUGGUAAACCUUAAUCAUGACAGUAAAACUAUUAACUUGUUAUUCCACAUUGACAAUAGACUUGCUGAGGCUUAAUAUUUGCUGACUUGACCAACUAGUGGUCAGUUUCACAACCAUAGCCCAACAUUCCAAGGUGUCCACCUUCAGGAGUCUCUAAUCAAAUAUCAAAUUAAGAAAUAGUAAUUGGUUCUUCAAGAUCAUACAUAGUACAAAACACAUCAGAAUUGAUCCAAACAUUAGCUUCAACCCCUGAUGACAAUGAAUCGAGCAAUAGUAUGCCAUCAGACUCCCUAAUAAUGAACAAAAAAUUUACUCAAACACAUUUGAAGCUACUUAAAUUGGAAAUGAAAGUCCAAACUUAUGAUUACAACACGCUACAUUAAAUUCACUGGAAUUAAUAGUCAGGUUUUAACUAACAUGUAAAUGAGCUAUUAAUAGAUAUCAAAGCUAUAACAGGAAUACUAAUAUCAAGCCCUUGAAAUUCAAACAUUGGAACACCAUUUUUAUUUGAUAAUCAUCAUUCCACUCCAAAGGUUCUGAAAAUGUACCUGAUUACAACAACCAAAACAAAGAAAAUAAGCUUGAAGUGGGAGUGAACAAUAGUGGAAUAUCAGCAGCACCAAACAACUAAACAACCAUUAGAUUCAAUCCUUUUGAGCCAUUUUAAACCCAGAAUGAACCAGAGAUUCUUGAAGGUUUCAAGUUAAAAAAAAUGACAGCAUACUCUAAACCAAUUUUAACCGAGAAGGAAAAAAAUUCAGUAUUCUUUUUAAGGUGUCCCUUCAGACGUUUUCUGAAUUGUAUAUUCUGCGAAUCGUCCCUUGAAAGAGAAGAAAACAAAGCCUUUUAUAAAGGACUUCUAGGGCAGGGGAAUGAG